rnacentral:tRNA from 1 species
UGGCUCAGUUGGUAGAGCAUGGUGUUUGCAAUGCCAGGGUUGUGGGUUUGACUCCCAC